rfam:Modestobacter marinus str. BC501 chromosome, complete genome.
AGGGACGACACGGGGUGUCCCGCCCGGGACUGAGAUCACACCCGUCGAACCUGCUCCAGCUGACACUGGCGAAGGGAUGUCCGGCGAUGGACGC